rnacentral:rRNA from 1 species
GGCGAACGCUGGCGGCGUGCUUAACACAUGCAAGUCGAACGAUGAAGCAGAGAAACGCGUACUUCGGUUCAAAUUUCACUUCGGAUUAGUGGCAGACGGGUGAGUAACGCGUGAGCAACCUACCUCUUACAAAGGGAUAGCCUCGGGAAACCGUGAUUAAUACCAUAUGACACAUUCACAAGGCAUCUUAAGAAUGUUAAAGCUACGGCGGUAAGAGAUGGGCUCGCGUCCCAUUAGCUAGUUGGUGAGGUAACGGCCCACCAAGGCGACGAUGGGUAACCGGACUGGGAGGGUGAACGGUCACAUUGGAAGUGAGACACGGUCCAAACUCCUACGGGAGGCAGCAGUGAGGAAUAUUGCACAAUGGAGGGAAGUCUGAUGCAGCGACGCCGCGUGAGCGAUGAAGGAAUUCGAUACGUAAAGCUCUGUUCUAUGGGAAGAAAAGGACUGUACCAUAGGAGAAAGCCCCGGCUAAAUACGUG